rnacentral:rRNA from 1 species
GUGGGGAAUAUUGGGCAAUGGGCGAAAGCCUGACCCAGCAACGCCGCGUGAAGGAAGAAGGUUUUCGGAUCGUAAACUUCUAUCCUUGGUGAAGAUAAUGACGGUAGCCAAGAAGGAAGCCCCGGCUAACUACGUGCCAGCAGCCGCGGUAAUACGUAGGGGGCAAGCGUUGUCCGGAAUGAUUGGGCGUAAAGGGCGCGUAGGCGGCCCGGUAAGUCUGAAGUGAAAGUCCUGCUUUUAAGGUGGGAAUUGCUUUGGAUACUGUCGGGCUUGAGUGCAGGAGAGGUAAGCGGAAUUCCCGGUGUAGCGGUGAAAUGCGUAGAGAUCGGGAGGAACACCAGUGGCGAAGGCGGCUUACUGGACUGUAACUGACGCUGAGGCGCGAAAGUGUGGGGAGCAAACAGGAUUAGAUACCCGAGUAGUCC